UCUGCAACGAUGACGGAAAAGAUGGUUCAGCCGUCCAUGAAGCGACCGGGGGAGGGUGCAAGCCCCGGGGGACGUGAACCUGGUGGCACUCCCGAGUUGCCUUAACGAAGCUGUCCCACCUCCCUGGGAAAGCAGGGUGGAACCGCGAAGUUAUUCGUCCCUGCA
rnacentral:misc_RNA from 1 species